ACAUGGUGAAGUGGGUUGAACUGAAACUUGUUGACUUAUUGUGUUUUUCACAAACUGGUUUAUUUCCCGUUGAGGCGGACCACUCUCCUCCGUGUCCCUGAGCUGCUGCUUCAGAUCCGUCACUCUGCUGUGCUGUGAGGGAGUUAGUGGAUGAAGAUCGGCAUGAGGUCGCUGUAGCGCCAUCUACAGGAUAAGUCGGGGAACUUUUCAAUUGGUGAAAC